UACGGAGGGUGCAAGCGUUAUCCGGAUUUACUGGGUUUAAAGGGUGCGUAGGCGGGCUAUUAAGUCAGUGGUGAAAUCUCUAGGCUCAACCUGGAAACUGCCAUUGAUACUAUUAGUCUUGAAUAUUGAUGAGGUGGGCGGAAUACAUCAUGUAGCGGUGAAAUGCUUAGAUAUGAUGUAGAACACCAAUUGCGAAGGCAGCUCACUGGGCAAUUAUUGACGCUGAGGCACGAAAGCGUGGGGAUCAAACAGG
rnacentral:rRNA from 1 species